rnacentral:rRNA from 1 species
UGCGUAGGCGGGCAUUUAAGUCAGUGGUGAAAUACCUGAGCUUAACUUGGGAACUGCCAUUGAUACUAUUUGUCUUGAAUGUCGUGGAGGUUAGCGGAAUAUGUCAUGUAGCGGUGAAAUGCUUAGAUAUGACAUAGAACACCUAUUGCGAAGGCAGCUAACUACGCGAAUAUUGACGCUGAGGCACGAAAGCGUGGGGAUCAAACAGGAUUAGAUACCCUGGUAGUCCACGCCCUAAACGAUGAUUACUCGACAUUGGCGAUACACUGUCAGUGUCUGAGCGAAAGCAUUAAGUAAUCCACCUGGGAAGUACGACCGCAAGGUUGAA